AUUGAACGCUGGCGGCAUGCCUUACACAUGCAAGUCGAACGGCAGCACGGGAGCAAUCCUGGUGGCGAGUGGCGAACGGGUGAGUAAUAUAUCGGAACGUGCCCAGUCGUGGGGGAUAACGCAGCGAAAGCUGUGCUAAUACCGCAUACGAUCUACGGAUGAAAGCGGGGGAUCGCAAGACCUCGCGCGAUUGGAGCGGCCGAUAUCAGAUUAGCUAGUUGGUGAGGUAAAGGCUCACCAAGGCGACGAUCUGUAGCUGGUCUGAGAGGACGACCAGCCACACUGGAACUGAGACACGGUCCAGACGCCUACGGGAGGCAGCAGUGGGGAAUUUUGGACAAUGGGCGCAAGCCUGAUCCAGCAAUGCCGCGUGCAGGAAGAAGGCCUUCGGGUUGUAAACUGCUUUUGUACGGAACGAAACGGUCUGGGUUAAUACCUCGGGCUAAUGACGGUACCGUAAGAAUAAGCACCGGCUAACUACGUGCCAGCAGCCGCAGUAAGAC
rnacentral:rRNA from 1 species